AUUGAACGCUGGCGGCAGGCCUAACACAUGCAAGUCGAGCGGAUGACAGGAGCUUGCUCCUUGAUUCAGCGGCGGACGGGUGAGUAAUGCCUAGGAAUCUGCCUGGUAGUGGGGGACAACGUUUCGAAAGGAACGCUAAUACCGCAUACGUCCUACGGGAGAAAGCAGGGGACCUUCGGGCCUUGCGCUAUCAGAUGAGCCUAGGUCGGAUUAGCUAGUAGGUGAAGUAAUGGCUCACCUAGGCGACGAUCCGUAACUGGUCUGAGAGGAUGAUCAGUCACACUGGAACUGAGACACGGUCCAGACUCCUACGGGAGGCAGCAGUGGGGAAUAUUGGACAAUGGGCGAAAGCCUGAUCCAGCCAUGCCGCGUGUGUGAAGAAGGUCUUCGGAUUGUAAAGCACUUUAAGUUGGGAGGAAGGGCAGUAAGUUAAUACCUUGCUGUUUUGACGUUACCGACAGAAUAAGCACCGGCUAACUCUGUGCCAGCCGCCGCGGUAAAAC
rnacentral:rRNA from 1 species